rnacentral:rRNA from 1 species
ACAGGGUUCGCUAAAUACCCCAAUAGUGCUCUGAGAAGGUGAAAUGGAUUUUUCCUCCUAAUGAGAUCUUGCGGAUGAUUAACUUGUUGGUGAAGUAACGGAUCACCGCGGCGACCAUUAGUAGGUGUUUUAAGAGGAUGAUCCAACCUGCUGCUGAUAAAACGCCCUCACUACUCCUGGAGGAGGCAGUGGGGAGUUUUUUUCCAUGGUGGAAAACCUCCCGGAGCAACACCCCCUGAUGAAGGAUGGCCGCCUGUGUGUUGACCUCUUUUUUUUUGGAGGAAGAUCUGAAUGAACUGGACGAAAAAAAAACGCCUAAGUCCAUUCCGUGCCACCCGCCACGACAAAAGAGACGAUGCUUAUCUUAACUUAUAUCGCUGGGCGUAACGCCUCGCGGGGUGGUUUGAUUGUCCUUCUGUCGAGUAGCGUAACUCCACUUCGGGGACGGAAUCUGCACUACUAGACGUGAGUAUGGGUAGAGUGAAUUCACUUUGUAGUGGAGCGAUGCGUUGCUUUUAUGAAGAACACAACCCCCAUAGGCAUUGUACUUUACUGGGCUAUAACCGCCUGUCAGAGACCAAAGCGAGCGUAGGGGAUUGGAUACCCCACUCCUCCAAAAUCA